rnacentral:rRNA from 1 species
UGGGGAAUAUUGCGCAAUGGGGGGAACCCGUGACGCAGCAACGCCGCGUGAAGGAAGAAGGUUUUCGGAUUGUAAACUUCAGCAAGCAGGGAAGAAAUAAAUGACGGUACCUGAACAAAAGCCACGGCUAACUACGUGCC